rnacentral:rRNA from 1 species
UACGUAGGGUGCGAGCGUUGUCCGGAAUUAUUGGGCGUAAAGAGCUUGUAGGCGGUUUGUCGCGUCUGCCGUGAAAAUUCGAGGCUCAACCUCGAACUUGCAGUGGGUACGGGCAGACUAGAGUGUGGUAGGGGAGACUGGAAUUCCUGGUGUAGCGGUGAAAUGCGCAGAUAUCAGGAGGAACACCGAUGGCGAAGGCAGGUCUCUGGGCCACUACUGACGCUGAGAAGCGAAAGCAUGGGGAGCGAACAGG